rnacentral:lncRNA from 1 species
GAUAAGAUAAGAUAAAAUAAGAUAAGAUAAGAUAAGAUAAGAUAAGAUAAGAUAAGAUAAAAUAAAAUAAGAUAAGAUAAGAUAAGAUAAGAUAAAAAUACGAAAUAAAAAUAUGAAAAACAUAUGAACAUCAUUAAAAAACUUGAUAGGUACAAACAGAGUUUAACAAGAUGAAUCUAGAAUUCUUUGUUCUGAUAAAAUUAAAAUAAAAAGACACACAACGUAUAGUGAUACAAUGUGUUUUAUUCCUUGUAAAAUAACCGAUAAAAAAUUUGAGAGGUUUAGAUGUCAUAGAAUAAUGGUUGCAUUGAUAAGAACAGAAUAUUUUCUUGAAAUGAUAGACAAAGUGUUACAACCACUGAUAUUUAACAAAAAGUUCACACAGUCACAGUACUCAAAGCUUU